AAAGUGGAGCAAUCCAUGAGUACAGUGGCGUACGGGUGAGUAACACGUGGGUAUCUAACUCUUAGUGGGGAAUAACCCAGGGAAACCGGGGCUAAUACCGCAUAAGCUCGAGAGAGGAAAGCAGCAAUGCGCUGAGAGAGGAGCCCGCGGCCGAUUAGCUAGUUGGUAGGGUAAAGGCCUACCAAGGCAGAGAUCGGUAGCCGGCCUGAGAGGGCACACGGCCACACUGGCACUGAAACACGGGCCAGACUCCUACGGGAGGCAGCAGUGGGGAAUCUUGCACAAUGGGGGCAACCCUGAUGCAGCGACGCCGCGUGAGCGAUGAAGCCCUUCGGGGUGUAAAGCUCUUUCGUCAGGGAAGAUAAUGGCGGUACCUGGAGAAGCAGCUGCGGCUAACUACGUGCCAGCAGCCGCGGUAAUACGUAGGCAGCGAGCGUUGUUCGGAGUUACUGGGCGUAAAGGGUGUGUAGGCGGUUCUUUAAGUUUGGUGUGAAAUCUCCCGGCUCAACCGGGAGGGUGCGUCGAAUACUGAGGGACUAGAGUACGGGAGAGGAAAGUGGAAUUCCUGGUGUAGCGGUGAAAUGCGUAGAUAUCAGGAGGAACACCGGUGGUGUAGACGGCUUUCUGGACCGUAACUGACGCUGAGACACGAAAGCGUGGGUAGCAAACAGGAUUAGAUACCCUGGCAGUCCACGCCCUAAACGAUGCAUAUUUGGUGUGGGUCAUUCAGUUGAUCCGUGCCGGAGCUAACGCGUUAAAUAUGCCGCCUGGGGAGUACAGUCGCAAGGCUGAAACUCAAAGGAAUUGACGGGGGCCCGCACAAGCGGUGGAGCAUGUGGUUCAAUUCGACGCAACGCGAAGAACCUUACCUGGGCUCGAACGGCUUCUCAACGCC
rnacentral:rRNA from 1 species